rnacentral:rRNA from 1 species
AACGAACGCUGGCGGCAUGCCCACCCCUGCCAGUCGCACGAGACCUUCGGGUCUAGUGGCGCACGGGUGCGUAACGCGUGGGAACCUGCCCUUAGGUUCGGAAUAACUCCCCGAAAGGGGUGCUAAUACCGGAUAAUGUCUUCGGACCAAAGAUUUAUCGCCUUUGGAUGGGCCCGCGUUGGAUUAGCUAGUUGGUAGGGUAAAAGCCUACCAAGGCGACGAUCCAUAGCUGGUCUGAGAGGAUGAUCAGCCACACUGGGACUGAGACACGGCCCAGACUCCUACGGGAGGCAGCAGUGGGGAAUAUUGGACAAUGGGCGAAAGCCUGAUCCAGCAAUGCCGCGUGAGUGAUGAAGGCCUUAGGGUUGUAAAGCUCUUUUACCCGGGAUGAUAAUGACAGUACCGGGAGAAUAAGCUCCGGCUAACUCCGUG